AUACGGAAGGCAGCAGUGGGGAAUUUUGGACAAUGGGGGAAACCCUGAUCCAGCCAUUCCGCGUGAGUGAAGAAGGCCUUCGGGUUGUAAAGCUCUUUCGGCAGGAACGAAACGGUUUGCCCUAAUACGGUGAGCUAAUGACGGUACCUGAAGAAGAAGCACCGGCUAACUACGUGCCAGCAGCCGCGGUAAUACGUAGGGUGCGAGCGUUAAUCGGAAUUACUGGGCGUAAAGCGUGCGCAGGCGGUUAUGUAAGACAGGUGUGAAAUCCCCGGGCUUAACCUGGGAACUGCGCUUGUGACUGCAUAACUAGAGUGUGGCAGAGGGGGGUAGAAUUCCACGUGUAGCAGUGAAAUGCGUAGAGAUGUGGAGGAAUACCGAUGGCGAAGGCAGCCCCCUGGGUCAACACUGACGCUCAUGCACGAAAGCGUGGGGAGCAAACAGGAUUAGAUACCCUGGUAGC
rnacentral:rRNA from 1 species